GAUGAACGCUAGCGGCAGGCCUAACACAUGCAAGUCGAGGGGCAGCACGUCUUCGGAUGGUGGCGACCGGCGCACGGGUGCGUAACGCGUAUGCAACCUACCUCUUACAGUGGGAUAGCCCAGAGAAAUUUGGAUUAAUACCGCAUAGUAUACAGAUUCAGCAUUGGGACUGUAUUAAACAUUUAUGGGUAAGAGAUGGGGCAUGCGUUCUAUUAGUUAGUUGGAGUGGUAACGGCACCCCAAGACAGCGAUAGAUAGGGGCCCUGAGAGGGGGAUCCCCCGACACUGGUACUGAGACACGGACCAGACUCCUACGGGAGGCAGCAGUGAGGAAUAUUGGACAAUGGGCGAGAGCCUGAUCCAGCCAUGCCGCGUGCAGGAAGACGGCCCUAUGGGUUGUAAACUGC
rnacentral:rRNA from 1 species